AAUUGUUUUAUGCCACAUCAGCGUUUUAUCCUGAAUUUUAGCAUUUUCGUCCUGAAAAAAAUCAAAUCCAAAUUAAAAUCCUGAAAUUCAGGAUAAAAUUAUUGAUGUGGCAUAAAACUAUU
rfam:Gossypium raimondii Chr07_contig_279, whole genome shotgun sequence.